GAUGAACGCUGGCGGCGUGCCUAAUACAUGCAAGUCGAGCGAACAGACGAGGAGCUUGCUCCUCUGACGUUAGCGGCGGACGGGUGAGUAACACGUGGAUAACCUACCUAUAAGACUGGGAUAACUUCGGGACACCGGAGCUAAUACCGGAUAAUAUAUUGAACCGCAUGGUUCAAUAGUGAAAGACGGUUUUGCUGUCACUUAUAGAUGGAUCCGCGCCGCAUUAGCUAGUUGGUAAGGUAACGGCUUACCAAGGCAACGAUGCGUAGCCGACCUGAGAGGGUGAUCGGCCACACUGGAACUGAGACACGGUCCAGACGCCUACGGGAGGCAGCAGUAGGGAAUCUUCCGCAAUGGGCGAAAGCCUGACGGAGCAGCGCCGCGUGAGUGAUGAAGGUCUUCGGAUCGUAAAACUCGGUUAUUAGGGAAGAACAAAUGUGUAAGUAACUAUGCACGUCUUGACGGUACCUAAUCAGAAAGCCACGGCUAACUACGUG
rnacentral:rRNA from 1 species